rnacentral:rRNA from 1 species
UACGGGGGGAGCAAGCGUUGUUCGGAUUUACUGGGCGUAAAGGGCUCGUAGGCGGUUUGUCGCGUCGGGAGUGAAAACCCAGGGCUUAACCCUGGGCUGGCUUCCGAUACGGGCAGACUAGAGGUAUGCAGGGGAGAACGGAAUUCCUGGUGUAGCGGUGAAAUGCGCAGAUAUCAGGAGGAACACCGGUGGCGAAGGCGGUUCUCUGGGCAUUACCUGACGCUGAGGAGCGAAAGUGUGGGGAGCGAACAGG